CCCCACUGCAUUCGUCAACUUUCCUUAAUUCUCAUUCAGCACCACCUUUCACUCUGGAAACUGGUUCACAGGGAACAUGUUGUUAUGACAGAUAACAUUGCCUAAAACUUGCUGAUCCUCGCUUUUAAAAUGAAGAUUGUAAGGAUCAAGACACUGUCUGGUGCAGGAAUGCUGCUUUUUGCUGCACUUUUCAUUUUUAGCCAACAGACUUCAUAUGUGGCUUCCACAGACGUGACCCAUUGGGCAGAGGUCAUGAUUGAGGGGAAUAAAACAUUAAAUGUUGCAGUCUAUCUGCCUGGACUUAUAGGGACUGUUUUGGAUACAACAGGAGUAACUAUCACAAACGCUGAAAUAGCAGCAGAGUGUGAGAUAAUCGGCCAAAAUUCAACAUGCUGGUGUGGACCGGAAUAUGUUUGGAGCAAUCUUGUGUGUGACAAUGUGAAUAAAUGCUGCAAUGUGGACAAAUGUGUGGCAAAUAUUUCAUACUACACACCUCUGUGUUUGCCAAAAGUGAACGUUUCACUUAUUGGUGUACUCACUGGGAGCUCCUCAAAUGUCCAAAGCAUGUUGCUGAGUGCUUUUAAUGUGCUUAAUGCCUUCAACUCAUUGACUUUGGAUGGCACCCUCUACACAGGGUUAAAUACUUAUGCUCACAAUUUCACAGUCUCUCUUAGCUCUGUGUUUGCCACCCCCAAAGUUCAAGGCAUAAUUUCUACGCUGUUGACAAAUCCAACCAUUUACAGCCUCAGUCUCAAGUCACUAGGCAUGGUAUAUAUGGAGGCACCUACAGGAAAAAUAUGUUAUAAUUCAAAACAACAGCUGAACUGUACCAGUAUAGAGGCUAUGAGCAAGUGUGUGUGGCAGAUGUCCAGAGAGAGUGAAGCAACGUUGACUCUGGGACCAGGAAGUGAAAUACAGUUGUCAGAUACUUGUACAGAGCUCUCAACAGUCACACUUCUAAAGACAAAUGGAUACUGGUCAGGAACAUACAUCUGCCUUUUCGUCACUGGGAACAUAGCUCACAUGGCCAUGGCACCUAUUCAAAUUGCACUUCUGCCGGAGGUCAUUAAUGUGACAAGCAAUCCACAAACUGCAGAUUGUUCCGCAUCGCCAUCCACCAAAGUUGUCAUCUUGUGUUCCAUCGAAAACAGCACUGAAACCUACAAAGCCACGCUAAAACUCGGAACUGUUGAAAUUGCACCAGCUAAAGAAGAGAACAAUGGAAUAAUCAAAUAUACAGCAGAAUUCACUGUUGAUUGUAUGGCAGACGGCAAACCAAGUUCACUUGAGGCCAGCUGCACUUUAGAGAACACUUUGAACCAGCUGCGAAAUCGCACAAUAAGAGUACCAAUUAUUUACCCCAGUGACCUGUUUUGUGCAGAGGACGAAGUUGAAGAUAGAAAAUGGCCUAAAACAAAGAAUAAUGAAACAGCCGUUAUAGAUUGCACUGCAGUAGGGAGACAGGGCUCAAUGAAACGCAAAUGCAACGGGAGAAAAUGGGGGGAUGAACUCUCUCUGUGUGUCAAAGCAGUCCUGAAUAGUGUAGCUUUGCAAGCAAAGGAUUUUGAAAAAGGACUUGGAGCAACACAAGAAGGUGCUCAGUUUAUCUUUCAGAGCUUGAAAAAUAACACAUCUGAAGAGGGUGACAACACUUUUGGUGACGUCAAGACUGCAGUUUCUGUUUUUGAAACUAUGAACAAGGCAUCAAUAAACAUGGCACUAGGCGAGAACCUUCUUCCAGAUUUCAUCGACUCAGCUAGCAGCAUGUUGAACGUAACCUGGGAAGUGGGAGAUGAGGAAGAGAGCAGCACACUGGCUUCACAAUAUCUGUCAUCCGUAGAAGGCCUCGUGAAAAGCAUCCGAAUAAAUGCUAGUGAGGGCUACAACUCCUCAAACAUUCAGCUUCAGAUCUGCCGAAGCGGCAACACUUGCAACAAAACUGUUUUCAACGUGGACGUUGAGCUGAAUGCCACAGCAGAUAUGGUGAAAACGGUAGGAUUGCAGAGCUUGGCCAACCGCAUGCCAAAACUGGGCUACGAGGAUGCGACGUUUCCUAGCAUAGUGGUAUCCAGCACUGUUGAGAACAACACUCAGCCGUCGGUGAACAUCAAACUGGCUUUUCCAAAUGAAGGCGACAGCCAGGUCACGAUGACCUGCGUGUUCUGGAACGUCACUGAGCAAAGAUGGUCAGAUGAGGGCUGCGAGGUCGUUAAAGGCUCCGGGAACGUCGCCACCUGUGAAUGCAACCAUCUCACCUCCUUCUCCAUGCUCAUGUCUAAGCAUUCAGUAAGCAUGCCUUUUCUAGAUCAGCUCACGUACGUGGGACUGGGAGUCUCCAUAUGCUCUCUCAUCGUCUACAUCAUCAUCGAGUGUUUGGUCUGGAGCGCCGUAGUCAAAUCCAACCUCUCCCACUUCCGUCACACAGCUCUCCUCAACAUCUCUCUGUGUCUGCUUCUGGCAGACUGCAGCUUCUUAGCUUCCUCCUUCCCAUCAAUCCUAAAUGAAACCUUGUGUCUUGUUCUGGUGGUGGCGAAGCAUUACUUCUUCCUUGCCAUGUUUUUUUGGAUGCUGUGUCUGAGCGUCAUGUUGGUCCACCAGCUCAUUUUCGUCUUUAGCCACAUUGGGAAAAAGGUGUACAUGAUCCUCGGAUUCACCAUCGGUUACGUUUGUCCGACAGUGACUGUUGCUGUUACGUACGUGUACUACGACCAAGCAAGCAACAUCCCGUACUACAGCUCCAAAACGUGCUGGCUUACCUAUCAAUCAGCUCUGCAGGGAUCCAUCCACGCAUUUCUCUUCCCAGUCGGGACCAUCAUUCUGGUGAACUUGUUUUCCAUGGGGGUGGUCAUCGCAAACGUCUUAAAGCCGUCUGGAGCUGAGAGCAACAAAAAGGGAGACAAAGAAGCUGUGAAAAGCAUCAUCAAAGUGGUUAUCUUUCUUACACCAGUUUUUGGUGGGACUUGGGUUCUGGGACUUUUUGUGUUUCUGAUGGAUGACUUUACACAGUUUAUUACAUAUGUGGUGCAUUACGCAUUCACCAUUGUCAACUCCUUGCAGGGCUUCUUCAUCUUGUUGACAGGAUGUUUUGCAGAAAAAAGGGUCCGGGAUGAAAUAUUGAGAAUAGUUCUUGGGAAAUCAGGAAAAGAACAAGGAACAGUAACAACCACAAAAUAACUGAUUCACACAAACACGCAAGCAGUUCUAUAGAAGACAAGAGUCAUUAUUCAACUCAGUACAUUGAUCCGCCUGAGAAGCCACAGCAGCAACAAAAACAGGAGAGGGAGCGCUGUUUGGUGAAGAACUAAAAGUACUUCUUGUACUUUAAAAGACUUAAUACACAUUUGGAACAAAGUAUAGGCUGUGGUC